GACGAACGCUGGCGGCAUGCCUAACACAUGCAAGUCUAGGGGUGUAGCAAUACACACUGGCGCACGGGUGAGUAACGCGUAGAUCAUCUGCCCCUAUCACCGACAUAACUCUUGGAAACGGGAGCUAAUAUCGGAUGAGGUGAGCAAUCAUCAAAGUUUCGACGGAUAGGGAUGAGUCUGCGUCUGAUUAGGUAGUUGGUGAGGUAAUGGCUCACCAAGCCUACGAUCAGUAGCUGGUCUGAAGGACGAACAGCCACACUGGAACUGAGACACGGUCCAGACUCCUAGGGAGGCAGCAGUGAGGAAUAUUGGACAAUGGAGCAAUCCUGAUCCAGC
rnacentral:rRNA from 1 species